ACAGGAAGUCUGAAAGCAGAUGUCGCAGGGCUGGUUUCUUCCAGAGGCUGAGGGAAGAAGCCGACUGCUCCACGCCUCCCUCCCGGCUUCUGGCGGCUACAGGACUUGUGGGAUCUUUGUUCCCCAACCAGAGAUGGAACCAAGGCCCUUGGCAGUGGUGAAGAGCUGAUUAAAGACCCCAAUGCUGGGAAAGACUGAAGGCAAAAGGAGAAGGGGUGGCAGAGGAUGAGAUGGUUAGAUAGCAUCAAUGACUCAGUGGACAUGAGUUUGAGCAAACUCUGGGAGACAGUGAAGGACAGAGGAGCCUGGUGUGCUGUAGUCCAUAGGGUCGCAAAGAGUUGGACACAACUUAGCCACUGAAAACCAACAACCACCUUGGCAGUGAGGCCCUUGGGCACUGGACCACCAGGGAAGUCCCUCCCCAUUCAUUUGUGAUAUCACCUUUUCAAUGUACUAAGUACCUAUUUGUACCAAGUUCCCAUUUGUAGCCAGCUUAUGUCUGGACUCUGCAUUCUAUUUGUCUGCCUGCUUUUUCUGCCACAUUGUUUUAAUUACUGUGAUUUUGUAAUAUGUCUUAAUAUUUGGUAGAGCAAGGCUCCCACCUUAGCUCUGCUUUUUUUAAAAUGCCUUAAGAUUUUAAGGACCUUGAUUUUCCAUGUACAUCUUAGGAUCAGUUUAUGAGUGCUUCCCUCCCUGCCCCAAAUGCCUUGGGAUUUGGGUUGUAAUCCUAAUGACUUUAUAAUUUGGAGAAAAUUGACUCCUUUAAGACAUUAGGUUAGUUCACCCAUGAACUAUGUCCGUCUUUAUUCUGGUCUUCUUUUUAUGUCCUUUAGUAGAAUCUAAGUGUUCUCCAAGAAGGCCUUGUAUGCUCUGUUAGGAUAAUUGAGAGGGAAGAACAUUCUACAACUUACAAAUGACUUAUUUUUAUAUAUCCCCUCUCUCUGGAGCUUUUUUAUCCACAUUUUACAGAAAAGGAAACUGAGGCCCAGAAGGGUCCAGGAACUUUGCCAAGAACACACAGAAGCGACAGAGCUGAAACCAGGCCCCCUAGCCCAGGCCCUGGCACUCAACGUGUCUUGCACACUGAGUACCACCCACCCUUGCCCCCGGCUCAGCAAAGGCUUGGGUGAACAGAUCUGAUGCCAGUCAAUCUCUGAUUGACAAAGGUAAACCACGGACAUUUCGGAGGCUGGCUCACACUUAGUCAUUUAUUUUAAGACCUGCACAAAGAGACACGCAGCGUAGAUAUACAGAAGAACAAUAAGAAUACAGGUUGCCUUGACUUGUUGUGCGAGGGCUUGCCUGGAUGAAGAUCUGAAGUCUGUCUUGCUUGUGCUACUGCUGUGGAACCUGGUGCUAAUGGGCACCUUGCUGGCCCCCAGACUGCAGCCUCCUUCUCCCUCGCUGGCAUCCUUGUCCUCAACCACUAGGCACAGGCUGACGGAGGCUGGCCUGAGCCCGCUCAGGGUGGCCGGGUCAGGCCCAGGGAAGCGCUGGCUAAAAGGAAUGGUGGUCACUGGAAGGACGGUGGUGACCGCAUCCAGAUCUUUGGAGGGUGCCUUGCGCAGCCUAGCCCAUCCCAGGGACUGCAGGCCACCGCCCCACAGGGCCCUGGCCACCUGUCCCAUGGCCACCCCCAGCCUGUCCAGGCAGCAGAGCAGCAGGGACACAGCCGUCUGCUGCAGCACAGCCUGUGGCAGCAGCUCCAAGGCCUUGCUGUGCUCAUGGUGGAAGUCAACCAGGCUGUAGUAGGCACACUGGGCCACAGACAGCAGAGC
ensembl:lncRNA